rnacentral:rRNA from 1 species
AGUGAACGCUGGCGGUAGGCCUAACACAUGCAAGUCGAACGGCAGCACAGUAAGAGCUUGCUCUUACGGGUGGCGAGUGGCGGACGGGUGAGGAAUACAUCGGAAUCUACUUUUUCCUGGGGGAUAACGUAGGGAAACUUACGCUAAUACCGCAUACGACCUACGGGUGAAAGCAGGGGAUCUUCGGACCUUGCGCGAUUGAAUGAGCCGAUGUCGGAUUAGCUAGUUGGCGGGGUAAAGGCCCACCAAGGCGACGAUCCGUAGCUGGUCUGAGAGGAUGAUCGGCCACACUGGAACUGAGACACGGUCCAGACUCCUACGGGAGGCAGCAGUGGGGAAUAUUGGACAAUGGGCGCAAGCCUGAUCCAGCCAUACCGCGUGGGUGAAGAAGGCCUUCGGGUUGUAAAGCCCUUUUGUUGGGAAAGAAAAGCAGCAGGUUAAUACCCCGCUGUUCUGACGGUACCCAAAGAAUAAGCACCGGCUAACUUCGUG